UGAGCAUAGCAGACUGUUAGAUGUUGGCCA
rnacentral:piRNA from 1 species